UUGCACCUGCUGUUGCAUCUGCAUAAGGCCUACUAUGGUCUGCAUAACCUGGCCUAGGCCCGGCUCUUGUUGUCCUGUCUGAGUAUCACUAGCAGGAUUGACGACUCUCUCCUGCUGAGGAGUGUUACUAACUUGUUGGGGUGUGCUGUCAUUUUGCGGGUUGGGUGCCUUAUUAGUAGCUCUGCGAGUAGUCUUUCUCGUCCGACGUGGAGGCAUCCUGAUCUAUGUCUAUCAGAUAGCAGCAUACCAAUAAUAAGCUUACCAGUUCAUUACAAGUACAUAGAAUGGUUGUUACAAUAAUCAUAAACUAACGUUCCAAUGUUCCUAGUGUCUACCUAUCUACACUCAUGUCAUGUCAGAUUUUCUUAUCUUAGAAUUUAUCCAUUCAUGCUUUGAUACCAUAAAAGUUGUCACGCCCCCGGUCCGAGAUCGCGAGUCGGAGGUCCGCGCCAACCGCCGCACACCCGUAGAAAACUCUCCCCACGAGCAUGCAAGGCAUCUUAACCAAUAAUCUCAAUUAUAUAUAUAUAUAAAAUAAUUCAACUGAAAUAAAUGCAAUCUUACUCCAUUGACUGACCCAAAUUAUAUAGUCUCACAAUUCUAAAUAUGCAGCGGAACAAUAAAGAUAAAACAUCAAUUUAAAUAAAGCCUAAUCUAGGAUAACUUGUGCUUCAGUUCUUCUAGUCGCUCUCCCAUUUUAAAUCCCUGAUAGGUUAGUUCUAGGAAUCUGUAAAACAACAAGAAAUUGUAUAAUGAGCUAGACAACUCAGUAAGUAAUAAACACCUUACCUAGUCAAUUCAUAUAAUAACAUAAAAUAUAAAUACAAAUUACGAUGAAUCAACAUAAUAACAUAAUCAAUUCCUUUUCAAGCACAAAUUCAUUAAAAUCGUAUUUUUCAAAUAUCCAUAUACAUAAUCAUAAAUCUGAUUCGAAACAAAUCACAUUCAUCUCAUCAGCCUUUAGCUACGACCACACUUAUACCCUGUGGCUAGGUCAGAAACAGAACCGCACUUAUACCCUGCGGAGUGGGCCAGAAUACCGCACUUAUAUUCUGCGGAGUGGGCCAGAAUGCCACAUUUAUACCCUGUGGUGGGGCCAGAAUUGCCAAUGCAUAACCCCCUAUUGGCAGGGUUCAGAACAUAGCCAGGCUGAGAGUUCUAAAUCUGAUGCACAUCAAAAUUUUUUUGGUAACAUAAUACAUGUAUCAUAAUCCGAUCUCAAUAUGCAUAUACGAUGCAAGAACAGUAAAUAUAGCAAUAAUCCGAAAAAUAUUAUUCCAGUUCACAUAUUCAUUUUUCAUUCAAAUCAUCAUCUCGUAAAAUUCAUAAAUCAAAUAUAAAUUCGUUAACAAUUUAUUCAAUGCAAAAAUAAUAUUAUAUAAAUGAAGAGUCUAGAGAAGGCAGUUCGUUACUUACAUUGAACGCGAUCCACAACAAAUCCAAUUAAUCUCACAAAUUCCUCGCAGGACCUAAUAUCCAAAAAUCAUAUUUCUUUUAAAAUUAAUCAUAAUAUAUAUAAAAACUUAAAUUUAAUAUUUUUUCAUGGCCGACCCUACAAGAGUGCCUAGCACCCCGAGAUCGGGUUCGGGUUCGGGUUCAUACCCAUAGACCACCCUCUUCCCUUUAUUUUACUAUUAUUAUUAUUAUUGUCUUUUCUUUUCUUUUCUUCCCCCUUUUUUUCUUCUUUUCUUCUCUUUUCUCUCCCGACUCCCCCUCUUCUCCUUCGGUGAAACAGGGGGUCCCGUGACCCCCCCUUCUUCUUCUUCUUCCCUCUCGGUCGGACUCCGGGGCGGCCAUGGUGGCCGGCCCCAACGGCGGCAGGAGGCGGCGGAGCAAGCCCGACCACCCCUUGCGGCUGGCGGCAGCGAGCACGCCGGCGCUAACGCCUCUAGCCGAAGCGAAGCAUCCCUUUUUGGGCCAAAAUCCGGCGAUCGGCCGGCUCAAAAUCACCACCCACCAUGGCUAAUCACCAAGCAAGGAGAAGGAAAAAGCUUACCUUAGCCCCGACGAAGAUCCGGCGCCUCCCUUCCUCUCCGGCGGCAAUGAAGGAAGAGGGUCACCCGUGCUACUUGGCUCUCCCUCUUCCUCUCUCUCUCCGGUAAUGCGAAGAAAAUCUCUCCCCCUUCUCCCUGGCGGCUCUUCUCGGUGGUUUUAAGGAGGAGAGGAAGCCCUAAAAAUAGGGCUUCCUUCUUCUUCGGGAUGGAACCAGUCCAUCCCGUCGCCUCACGUGCGUCGCACGUGAGGCCGGGGUUUUGGGACUGGGCCGGUCAUUUGGACCGGCCCAGUUUCGGGGUCUUACAGUGGUGCUCAGCAAAUUUAAUAUUUUUAACAUCGAAGCUGAGAACCAACAAGAGAAGAAAAUUAAAAUUCUUAGAUCAGAUCGGGGAGGUAAAUAUACAUCUAAUGAUAUAGCUCAAUUUUGUGAAGAUCGUAGUAUCAUUCAUGAAGUGACUGCUCCCUAUUCUUCCUAAUCAAAUGGAGUAGCAGAAAGGAAGAAUAGGACUUUAAUGGAUAUGGUUAACUCCAUACUUAUAAGCUCAGGAGUACUAGAGAAUUUGUGGGGGGAAGCUCUAAUUUCAGCCUGUUAUAUCCUCAAUAAGAUUCCCUCCAAAAAUAAUGAUCUUACCCCAUAUGAAGUUUGGAAACAUAGAAAAUCUAAUGUUAGCCAUUUGAAAGUGUGGGGGUGCUUGGAAAAAGUGAAAAUACCUGAUUUUAAAAGAAAGAAAAUAGGACCUAAAAUAGUAGAUGCCAUAUUCAUAGGAUAUGCGGCCAAUAGUAAUGCCAAUAGAUUUCUGGUGAUUAAUUCAGAAAAAAAUGAUAUUAGUAACAACACUGUUAUAGAAGCUAGAGAUGCAAUAUAUUUUGAAGACACCUUUCCACUUAGGACUAGAGUAGAUAGUGGUAUACCUAGUAGCUCUAGUAGAAUAAGGACAAGAGAAAUAGAAGUAGAAGCAAAACCUAGGAGUAAGAGAUCCAGGGUAAAAAUUUUUUUUGGAGAUGACUUCUAUACCUUUCUUAUAGAGGACUCUCUAACUACUUUUGAGGACGCAAUGGAAUCCUUGGAUUCACCCUUUUGGAGAGAAGCUGUGGACAAUGACAUGCAGUCAAUUAUCCAAAAUCAUACUGGGGAACUGAUUGAUCUUUCUUUUGGCUGUAAAACUAUAGGGUGCAAAUGGAUCUUUAAGAAGAAACUUAGGCCUGAUGGCUCUGUAGAUAAAUUUAAGGCUAGAUUAGUUGCCAAAGAUUUUACUCAGAGAUCUUUGGUAGAUUUCUNNNNNNNNNNNNNNNNNNNNCUUUUGGAGAGAAGCUGUGGACAAUGACAUGCAGUCAAUUAUCCAAAAUCAUACUGGGGAACUGAUUGAUCUUUCUUUUGGCUGUAAAACUAUAGGGUGCAAAUGGAUCUUUAAGAAGAAACUUAGGCCUGAUGGCUCUGUAGAUAAAUUUAAGGCUAGAUUAGUUGCCAAAGAUUUUACUCAGAGAUCUUUGGUAGAUUUCUUUGAUGUAUAUGCACCUGUAGCUAGGAUUACUACUAUUAGGGUCCUGAUAACAUUAGCCUCCAUCCAUAGAUUAGUGAUUCAUUAGAUGGAUGUGAAAAUAGUUUUUCUAAAUGGAGACUUAAAUGAAAAAAUUUAUAUGGACCAGCCAGAGGGAUUUAUAAUUCCAAGCCAAGAAAAUAAAGUUUGCAGAUUAGUCAGAGCUCUCUAUAGUCUUAAACAAGCAUCCAAGCAAUGGUACUUAAAAUUUGAUGAAAUCAUACUGAUAUUUGGAUUUGAAAUCAAUAGUACAGAUGAAUGUGUAUACUAUAAUAGAGUUGGAAAUAAAUUUGUGAUCUUGUGCCACAGAUCUUCAAAUGGUUGAUGAAGUAAAGCAAUUCUUAUGUCAUAAGUUUGAUAUGAAAGAUUUGGGACAAGCUGACUUAAUUUUAAAUACCAAAAUAAUUAAAAGUACAAAUAGAAUUGAGUUAUCAUAAAGUCAUUAUGUUGACAAGAUUCUCAAUAAAUUAAAUUAUACCAAUUGUCAGCCUGUCUCUACUCCCUUUGAUCCCUCUACACACCUUAAGAAGAACUUAGGAAUUCCUAUCCUUCAAAUCCUAUAUGCUCAAAUCAUAGGCUUACUAAGAUUCCUAGCAAACUACACCAGACCAAAUAUAGCAUAUGCUGUAAAUAGACAUAGUAGAUAUACUAUUAAUCCAAAUGGAGAUCACUGGACAGCAUUAGAGAGGAUUCUUAGGUAUCUUAAGGGUACCAAGUCCUAUAGUUUGCAUUUUAGUGGGUUUUCUGCUUUUCUAGAAGGCUAUAGUGAUGCCAACUGGAUCAGCGAUACCUUAGAUGUUAAAUCUACCACAGGAUAUGUCUCUCCUAGGAGGUGCUGCUGUGUCUUGGAAAUCCACCAAACAAAUCUUGAUAUCUAGGAGUACCAUGGAGUCUAAACUAAUAGCUUUAGACACCACUAGCAUGAGACUGAGUGGCUUAGAGAUCUACUUAUAGACCUUUCUGUAGAUGAGUUACCUUUACUACCUGUCUUCUUACAUUGUGACUGUAAAUCUGCAAUAGUGCUACCAAGAAAAUGUGUCGGGUUAUCCCCACACGUGUUGCGACGAUCGCAGCGGAAAGAUACGUGCGGGGUUGUUCAUCGCAUGAAUGUCCCGAGGACAUAGAUUUUAAAAAAAUUCUAAGUUCUUUAACUCAGAAAAUUAUGAAAUCUAAAGGAUAGAUUAAAUUAAAAACUUGAUUAAUUUUCAGAUCUAUAUAAAACAAUUGUAAAGAUCAUAUCUUUAUCUUUGAGUGGGUAGAUCUUCACCGCUAUCUGAUGAUCGUGAAAAUCAGGUUCGCUUAAAGCCGCACAAGUGUCUGGCCUCUACGGGUAUUCACACGAAGAUCUUGCUCGAUCAAGGUCGUGAUCUCACCGGGGUGCUAGCUCCCUUGCAGAGAUCCUUUUUGAUGGUUGGAACUCCUCUAAGCAAUCAACUCUUGAUUGCUUCCAAGAGGAGGAAGAAAGAGAAGGAGAAACACUUUCUCCUUUUCUUGGAAGAAGGAAGAGGAUGCAGGGAAGAGAGGAACAUCUUCCUCUCUAUUUUUCUUCCAUGCAGCUGAUCAAGAGGAGGAAGAAGACUCCAUAUUUUGCUGCCUCUUUCUUUUCUUUGCCUUGCGGAUGGAAGAAGAAGGGGAGAGAGGGGUGGCCGCCUAUCAUGAAAAGAAACCAUAAACCCAUGAAACAAGUCUAGGGCCGGCCCCCCUUUUUUAUAGCCUUGCCCUAGGAGGAGGCCGCACCCCAACCGGGUCUCGCAUCGCGGACACCCGGGACGUGGAUCCCGGCCAACUGGGACGCGGAUCCCGGGAGUACCUAGGGAAAGGAGGGGUUCUUGCCCCUUCCUUCUAAUCCUAAUCAAAUUAGAAUUUAGGUGGCCCUUGGUUCAUUGAAUCCUAAUCUAAUUAGGACCCAAUUAGUCUCUCUAUUUGAUUCAAAAUCCUUAUCCAUAAGAUUAAAUCAAUUGUGACUCUUGGAGUCCUAAUAAUUAGGACCUAAUUGGAUCAUGACUCGAUUAAACUCUUCAAUCCUAAUCCAAUUAGGAGUCAUCUUCAUCUAUUAGACCAAUAAUUAAUUAGGACUCUAGGAGUCCUAAUCCAAUUAGGACUCAUAUAAUCUGAGUCCUAAUCCAAUUAGGACUUUAGGAAUCCUACUCCAAGUAGGACUCUAAUAAUUUGAAGUCCUAAUCCAAUUAGAACUCUAGGAGUCCUACUCCAAGUAGGACUUUUGAACUUUAUCAAAUAAGAUCGAGCCCAAUUAAUUAAGUCCAAUUAAUUCAAUCAAAUUAUAAUCCGAUUGCAAUUAUUUCUUCUUCAACUCACUAAUUCUUAGUGGGUUAAACCAAUUGAUAAUUACAAACUAUUAUGAUUCCAAAUCACAAUCCAACAAUUAGAUCGAUUAGAUCAUCUAUUGUGUGUGACCCCAUAGGUUCUAUUCUGUCUGGUAGUGAGAUAUAUUGUGAUCUCUAUCACAACAUCAUUGAAACUCUUUUCAAUGGGUUGGAACAAUUUCAACUCUUCUCAUUCGAGUUCACUGAUCACCAAGUGAAUGCCUUUGAGUCUCACAAUCCACCAGUGACACCUAGCAGCAUGUCGGGGCAACCCAGCAGAAUGGAAUGAUGAACCUCUAGGUGCAGUUAGUGUAUGAUACAGUUUCUCUAUUAUGGAUUUCGACAGGAUGGAGGUCAUAAAUAACUCGUCAAACCUCAUCAUCUGUCAUAUGUAAAAUUUAUUCGACUCUAGUUCGAGAUUGGAAACUCUUUUUCAAA
rnacentral:lncRNA from 1 species